GGGCCUGUAGUCGAGCGGUUAAGACGUCCGCCUCACACGCGGAAGAUCCCAGGUUCGAAUCCUGGCAGGCCCA
rnacentral:tRNA from 1 species